rnacentral:rRNA from 1 species
AUUGAACGCUGGCGGCAGGCCUAACACAUGCAAGUCGAGCGGAUGAAGGGAGCUUGCUCCUGGAUUCAGCGGCGGACGGGUGAGUAAUGCCUAGGAAUCUGCCUGGUAGUGGGGGAUAACGUCCGGAAACGGGCGCUAAUACCGCAUACGUCCUGAGGGAGAAAGUGGGGGAUCUUCGGACCUCACGCUAUCAGAUGAGCCUAGGUCGGAUUAGCUAGUUGGUGGGGUAAAGGCCUACCAAGGCGACGAUCCGUAACUGGUCUGAGAGGAUGAUCAGUCACACUGGAACUGAGACACGGUCCAGACUCUUACGGGAGGCAGCAGUGGGGAAUAUUGGACAAUGGGCGAAAGCCUGAUCCAGCCAUGCCGCGUGUGUGAAGAAGGUCUUCGGAUUGUAAAGCACUUUAAGUUGGGAGGAAGGGCAGUAAGUUAAUACCUUGCUGUUUUGACGUUACCAACAGAAUAAGCACCGGCUAACUUCGUG